rnacentral:rRNA from 1 species
AUGGGCAACAAAACCUGGAGCCAGGGCAUGAGCUUGCCAUUGCCACUUCUCGCUGUCCUCAUGGUCAUCGCCGUGGUGGUGAGCGCCGGCGACGAGGUUGCGCUACUCGCUUUCAGAGCCAAGGUCGGUGACGGUGGUUCCCUUGCCUCCUGGAACAGCAGCGCCCACUUCUGCAGCUGGGAGGGCGUGACGUGCAGCCACGGGAGGCCCGCGCGGGUGGUGGAGCUGAGCUUGCCUGCCAUGGCCCUCACCGGAGCACUAUCCCCAGCCGUCGGGAACCUCACGUUCCUGCAGAAGCUCGACCUGAGCUCCAACGGGCUCCACGGGGAGAUUCCGGGGAGCCUCAGGCACUUACGCCACCUGCAGCACCUCGAUCUCUCUGAUAACCAGCUUGUGGGCUCGAUCCCACCGGAGCUCGGCAGCAUCCAGAGCAUGGAGAUACUCGGACUGUCCAGUAACAACCUCUCUGGAAACCAGUUGACUGGCCAAAUACCUAGCAGUUUAGGAAAUUGUAUAGUUCUACAAAAGCUCUUAUUGGAUAAGAAUUUAUUUGAAGGAAGCAUACCCCAAUCUCUGGAAAAUAUAAAAGGGCUCAAUAUAUUGAAUCUUACCAUGAAUAAUUUGUCUGGUACGAUAUCCCUGACGCCAUUGGCAGCAUUCGAGCCCUACACGAACUGUACCUAG